GGAAGAGAGUGAGGGAGGGAAGAGGGUGAAGAGGUGGAAGAGGGUGAGGGAGGGAAGAGAGUGAGGGAGGGAAGAAGGUGAGGGAUGGAAGAGGGUGAGGGAGGGAAGAGAGUGAGGGAGGGAAGAGAGUGAGCUUGAAUUGGUUGAAGAUGGCAAAAACCAAUUGGAGAUGGUUUGUUAAAGAAGAAUGGUAGAAAGCAUAAGCAGAGUGAGCCGUAAGCCGGAUCGAAGACAGGUGGAGAAAUGGAAGGGAAUUAGUGCGAAUUAUAGGAGGUGGCCGGUGUGGUGAACUUCUCGGAGCCCGAGGCUUGAUGGUCAGGAUAAAGAUGAGUCUGUGAUGGUAGGAGUGAUAUAAUGAUGGUCAGGGUAAAGAUGAGUCUGUGAUGGUAGGAGUGAUAUAAUGAUGGUCAGGAUAAAGAUGAGUCUGUGAUGGUAGGAGUGAUAUAAUGAUGGUCAGGAUAAAGAUGAGUCUGUGAUGGUAGGAGUGAAAUGUUUGAAGAAAGUGGACCCCUGUCUUUUGGCUGAUCCAUAUGCGGUUUCGGAGUGGGGGAAAACAGAGUUGGGUGCUGUGGAGUUGGUGAAGGUAACCAGAAGAGGUGGUGUGAUAAUUGUUUGUGUUUCUGCUGAUCAGAGGGAACAGGCGCUCCGCGUUACACAAAUGGGGAAAAGAGAUGUGAAUGGUUUUGCUCUAAAGAAAAGUACACCAUUGAAAGGAGUGAUUACUGGGAUCGCGGUAAAUAUCAAAGUGGACAAAACAAAAGGGGAAGAUUCCCGGGGCUUGUGAUGCUCGUCGUUUGGUGCCACGCAGAAAGAGUGGCGUGACAGAGGAGUCAUAGUCUGUCCUUUUGAGUUUUCAUGUUGAGUCAUAGUCUGUCCUUUUGAGUUUUCAUGUUGACUCAUAGUCUGUCCUUUUGAGUUUUCAUGUUGAGUCAUAGUCUGUCCUUUUGAGUUUUCAUGUUGAGUCAUAGUCUGUCCUUUUGAGUUUUCAUGUUGAGUCAUAGUCUGUCCUUUUGAGUUUUCAUGUUGAGUCAUAGUCUGUCCUUUUGAGUUUUCAUGUUGACUCAUAGUCUGUCCUUUUGAGUUUUCAUGUUGAGUCAUAGUCUGUCCUUUUGAGUUUUCAUGUUGAGUCAUAGUCUGUCCUUUUGAGUUUUCAUGUUGACUCAUAGUCUGUCCUUUUGAGUUUUCAUGUUGACUCAGUCUGUCCUUUUGAGUUUUCAUGUUGAGUCAUAGUCUGUCCUUUUGAGUUUUCAUGUUGAGUCAUAGUCUGUCCUUUUGAGUUUUCAUGUUGAGUCAUAGUCUGUCCUUUUGAGUUUUCAUGUUGAGUCAUUGCCCGACAAAGUGAUAUCAGCAUAUACAAGUUAUCCUGUACGAGCUUUUGUGCCUAAUCCAUUACGUUGUUACAGGUGUCAAGCAAAUGGACAUGUGGCAGCAGUGUGUAGGAGGGAGGUUCCUAGGUGUGUGAAGUGUGCAGAAGGGCAUGAGACAAAGAAAUGUGUAGCAUUGGGGAAAGUAGUGGUAUGUGUUAAUUGUAGGGGAGUCCAUGAGGCUGGGGAUCAGACAUGUGUAGCAGUGGGGAAAGUAGUGGUAUGUGUUAAUUGUAGGGGAGUCCAUGAGGCUGGGGAUCAGACAUGUCCAGUGAGAGAGGCAGGUUGAGGUUUCCAGGGUUACAGUAGUACAGAGGGUAUCAUAUGCUGAAGCACAGUAGCAGAACGUGGCUAAAAUCACUGGGGAAGCAAAAGCCAGUAAAAAGGCACAUUACAACCUGUUGUGAUCAUUUCUUUGUUUCUAUAACCCUUUUUGUUCAUACACCACCUUGACAUACAAUAAGGCCGUGACAACAAAAUGACAGUCACACGGUGGAGGAACAGUCACACGGUGGAGGAACAGUCACACAGUGGAGGAACAGUCACACAGUGGAGGAACAGUCACACAGUGGCAGAACAGUCACACAGUGGCGGAACAGUCACACGGUGGAGGAACAGUCACACAGUGGCAGAACAGUCACACGGUGGAGGAACAGUCACACAGUGGAGGAACAGUCACACAAUGGAGGAACAGUCACACAGUGGAGGAACAGUCACACAGUGGCGGAACAGUCACACAGAGGCAGAACAGUCACACAGUGGAGGAACAGUCACA
ensembl:lncRNA